ensembl:lncRNA LINC00887 long intergenic non-protein coding RNA 887
AUUUUCUGCUCAGACACCGUUGCUUGCAAAAUUCCACCCAGAAGAUAAGGGAGGGAGUAUCGCUGCAGCGUCCUGCUCUGUGCCUGGUUAUAUUACUGGAUCCUUGUGUUGCAGCCCUAAGAUAGAAGGAUUGUCUCCAUUUCACAGAUGAGAGAGAACUGAUGCGCAGGAGGCUGAAAUUGUCUGAAGUCACACAGCAGCCUCCUCUUAAACAUGACAAAGAAUCCAAGGACUUGUGCUGGGGCUGUCAGCUGCUAUUCUGGUGCCCUGGGGACGAAGAAGGGAUCUGGAGGGAAGACUGUCACCCUCUUGCGAAUGUUUCCAAGAAGCAGCUCAGCAUGGGAGAGAAAAGGGGAGAUCCCAGUUCCAGGAACACCUGGCCAGUGUUUCACCUGUUUAUCGGAGUUGACAGGACCAGCCAGCCCUUUCCCACCUCUCCCCAUCAUGAUGGAUGGGAGCCUGGCCUUUGAGAUUCCUGCGAAGGAAUGACAAAGAACAUCAAGGCUCAAUCCUUGGAACUCUCCAUCACUCAUCUUUAAAUUAGACUUCUCUGCUGACUCUCAGAGUUGUGUAUGCUGAGAAUCCACUGCCUCUAAGACAUCCUGCUUGGCAGGUUCCUAUCUCCCUUCGACUGAGGCAUCGUUUCCAAAUCAGACACUUCUCGUCACCACUAUUGCCCUCCCCUUGUCCAACCCACCUUUGGCUCUUGGCUGGAGUCCGGUGAGUCUCCUAGCUGGCUCUCCCUGUUCUCGUCAUUUCCCAGUAAGUUCCAACCCUGCCUUCAGACUCUUCUGCACACAGCUUCCAGAGUAAUCCUUUCAAAAAGUAAGUCAGAUCCCAUCUUUUCCCUCCCGUCUCACUCUGUCAGCCACAUUCAUUCCAAAGGACCAUGUGGUCCAUGUCCCUGUUCUCUCUGGUUCUCUCACUGCUCUCCUCUGUGCUUACUCUCUCCUGCCUCACAAUGUUUGCACUUACUGUUUCUUCUGCUUGGAACUCUUUCCCUCCAAGACCUUUUUUUUUUGAGACGGAGUCUCGCUCUGUCGCCCAGGCUGGAGCGCAGUGGUGCAAUCUCUGCUCACUGCAAGCUCUGCCUCCCAGGUUCACGUCAUUCUCCUGCCUCAGCCUCCCGAGUAGCUGGGACUACACGCACCAGCCACCAUACCCAGCUCAUUUUUUUUGUAUUUUCAGUAGAGACGGGGUUUCACCAUGUUGGCCAGGAUGGUCUUGAUCUCCUGACCUCGUGAUCCGCCCGCCUCGGCCUCCCUAAGCGCUGGGAUUACAGGUGUGAACCACCGCGCCCGGCCUCCCUCCAAGAUCUUUACUCACGUUGUCACCUUAGUGACGGCUCCCUCCCUAACCAUCCUAUUUAAAAUUGCAGCCCGUUCAACACCCAUUCCUCCUUCUCCAUCCUUGCUCUGCUUCCUCCCUUUGACCUGUCACUCUUUAAUCCAGUGGCAUUCUGAUUCAAUGGUGACUGGGAGCAGGACCUAAGGAGGUGCGUCAUCUGUAGAGAAUUUGAAAAUAAUCGUGAAAUAAACUCAAAGUGGGUUUGCUCUUUAUGAGCCCCGCACACCAGCAAUUCUAAAUUCUGUUAUCAAUAUACUUUCCUGCCAGGGUGGGCCGCCCCCACCGAUUCUCCUCUAUCUUAAUACACUAUGUGUUUCCCUUGUUUAUUUUGCUUAUUGUUCAUUUCCAUGCACUAGAAUAUAAGCUCCGCGAGGGCAGUAUAUUUUGUCUGUUUUGUUCACCACUGUGUCCCUCGUGUCUGCCACAUGGUGUGUGCUCAGUAAGCUUUAGCUGAAUGAAUGAAGUGGUGGAUGUCGACGUUCCCUUAGUUGGGGGUUAUCAGGAGGGCUUCCUGGAUGAAUUGGUGUCUAUAUUGCCUGUCCUUAAAGAGGAGGAAGGUGCUCUAGGCAGAAGGAACAGCAGGUACAAAAGCAACUUGACUGUCAGGGUCAUUAGCUAAGAGUAGGAGUCAGAGGGAUGAGUGGGUGUCGUUCACCAGAAUUUACCCUUCAAAAUGUCAGUGCUUAGUAAAUGAAUGUGUUCCUUUAUUACUAGUUGUUGGAGGGUCCUUGUUGACAUCUUGCAGAGGUCUGGCUGUCACUUUUAAUCAGAAUGGCUAUUCCCCACUCCUGCUGAAGAGCUCCAGGCCUGGCGGGGGUGGGCUGGCGGGCUGUGGUGGUGGUAAGGGCUGUCCCCCAGCACACUGUUAGAACUUUACUUAUCCUCUUGCUUGAAGUGUGGGAGCUGGAGACCAUUCAGGAAGCUGUGGUUACAGUCCCAGACAGGGUCCCUAAAAGCAAGGAGCCAUUCCCAAUGCUUCCUCCUUAGGGAAGCCUUCCCUACUUUCUCUUCCCUCUUCUGGGCAGAGUUUGUACCUUCCUCCUUUUUGCUCUCUGUUUAUUUCUUUAAUUUAACACUUAACAACAUAAUACCAUCUUUAUUUGUUCCAUGUUUGUAUCUUCUACUGAAUGUGGCUUCAAGAACAGAAAGCACAGAACGUGGCACGUUGGAGGAAAUCAGUAAGUGUUUGCUAAAGGUCCAACAAUGAAACAGAACAGAUAUAUCCAGUGCUAUGCCGCGUCAAAAGAGUAUGAGAGGUAUUGUGGUGAUGCUUUUGAAUGCUAAUCAGAAUAAGGAGGGUGACUAGUCCAUAGUUAUAUAGAAUAUAGGAUAUACAGAAUAUACCUUUUUCUGUAACGGGAUGUGUCACUUAACUUUGUUCCUUAAAGCUCCAGAAGCCCAAGGUCACCCACAAUGAUUCAAGUAUUAUCAAUGUUGAGAGCCUGUAAAAGCAUCAAGUAUAUUAUAGUUUCCAAAAAAUUGUGAAUUAGACUGAAAACCAGCAUUUAAAAAAUAAAGUGAUGUUGACUUAAA